UGAUGACAUCUACAAAACCCACCUAGAGAACAACAGGUUUGGGGGCAGUGGCUCUCAGGUGGACUCUGCCCGCAUGAACCUGGCCUCCUCUUUUGUGAAUGGCUUUGUGAAUGCAGCUUUUGGCCAAGACAAGCUGCUAACAGAUGAUGGCAACAAAUGGCUUUACAAGAACAAGGACCACGGUAUAAUUCUGUUCCUGCUUUGUCUUUUGUUUUGCUUUGAUCACUUCUUUUGUCCUCUUGGAGUCAUACGUUAUCUGACAAGGGAUCCACCAUGCAGUUCUUUGGAGAGCUCUUUAUAAUAACAGGAUCCUCAGGAUAGGGCCAUUUUAAGACUAAUAGAUUCUUCCCUGGUAUAGGAAUGUUGAGUGCAGCUGCAUCUCUUGGGAUGAUUCUGCUGUGGGAUGUGGAUGGUGGCCUCACCCAGAUUGACAAGUACCUGUACUCCUCUGAGGACUACAUUAAGUCAGGAGCUCUUCUUGCCUGUGGCAUAGUGAACUCUGGGGUCCGGAAUGAGUGUGACCCUGCUCU
rnacentral:sRNA from 1 species